rfam:Caenorhabditis tropicalis strain JT1373 unplaced genomic scaffold Scaffold563, whole genome shotgun sequence.
ACGGUGAUGGCCGAGUGGUUAAGGCGUGGGACCCCCGUUCUCAUUGAGGUAACUCAGCGCGGGUUCGAAUCCCGCUCACCGUA